CACGUAGGGGGCGAGCGUUGUCCGGAAUCAUUGGGCGUAAAGAGCUCGUAGGCGGCUCGGUAAGUCGGGUGUGAAACCCCCCAGGCUCAACCUGGGGAACCGCCACCCGCAGUACUGCCUGUGGCUAGAGUCCAGUAGGGGGAGUGUGGGAAUUCCCGGUGUGAGCGGUGAAAUGCGCAGAUAUCGGGAGGAACACCGGUGGCGAAGGCGCCACUCUGGGCCGGUACUGACGCGUGAGGAGCGAAAGCGUGGGAGCGAACAG
rnacentral:rRNA from 1 species